AGGAGAACACGAGAAUUGUCAGAGUGAAGGUUAUAGCUGGAAUUGGCCUGGCCAAGAAGGAUAUCUUAGGAGCCAGUGACCCAUAUGUGAAAGUGACAUUGUAUGAUCCAGUGAAUGGAGUCCUUACCAGUAUUCAGACAAAAACUAUUAGAAAGUCCUUAAACCCAAAAUGGAAUGAAGAACUCUUAUUUAGAGUUAAUCCUCAGAAGCACAGACUCCUUUUUGAAGUAUUUGAUGAAAACCGUUUGUGCUGUUCAUGUGAUAGGACCAAAUUCUUUGGUGAUGUUGAAAGCUCUGCACUGGAUGUUUAUUUUUCCCUACAAACAAAGCACUGUUUAUAUUUGGUGUGAGAAGCUUCUUCAGUGUGUGAGGAGUAGCAUGAAAGAAAGCAUACAUGGAUUUUCUUUGGAAAGCUCAAGAAGUGAACACUGGAUUGUAAUCUUGUAGAUAGGUGUCACUCUGAAUGGCUGGUCACUGGUGAGAUGGGGCUAGCUUGUGCUUUUAUCACAGUGAAAUCAAAAUUUCUCCUCUGACCCAAGCUCUCAUUUUGUGUACAGAUGUCUAAUUACCUGUAUUUGUUUGUGUGUUUCAUUGUGAGUAAGCUUGUAGCAGUACAGUCUUGACACCUGCAUCUGUUUCACUGAAGUUCCUUGUCACUGGAAUAAAUACCUUUCCCUUCUGCAGG